rnacentral:rRNA from 1 species
UACGUAGGGUGCAGGCGUUAAUCGGAGUUACUGGGCGUAAAGCGUGCGCAGGCGGUCUUUUAAGUCAGAUGUGAAAUCCCCGGGCUUAACCUGGGAACUGCGUUUGAAACUGAAAGGCUAGAGUGUGGCAGAGGGGGGUGGAAUUCCACGUGUAGCAGUGAAAUGCGUAGAGAUGUGGAGGAACACCGAUGGCGAAGGCAGCCCCCUGGGCUAACACUGACGCUCAUGCACGAAAGCGUGGGGAGCAAACAGG